rnacentral:rRNA from 1 species
GACGAACGCUGGCGGCGUGCUUAACACAUGCAAGUCGAACGGUGAAGGGGUCUGCUUUUGUGGGCCCUGGAUGAGUGGCGAACGGGUGAGUAACACGUGAGUAACCUGCCCCCUUCUUCUGGAUAACCGCAUGAAAGUGUGGCUAAUACGGGAUAUUCUGGGUCUGUCGCAUGAUGGGUCUGGGAAAGAUUGCGCCUUUGGGUGUUUUUGGUGGGGGAUGGGCUCGCGGCCUAUCAGCUUGUUGGUGGGGUGAUGGCCUACCAAGGCGGUGACGGGUAGCCGGCCUGAGAGGGUGGACGGUCACACUGGGACUGAGACACGGCCCAGACUCCUACGGGAGGCAGCAGUGGGGAAUAUUGCACAAUGGGCGCAAGCCUGAUGCAGCGACGCCGCGUGAGGGAUGGAGGCCUUCGGGUUGUAAACCUCUUUCGCCAGUGAAGCAGGCCUGCUCCGUGUGGGUGGGUUGACGGUAGCUGGAUAAGAAGCGCCGACUAACUACGUG